rnacentral:lncRNA from 1 species
GAUGGGGAACUGGCCGCCGGCUGGGUCUAACCCAACUGCCAGAAAGACCGCCGGCCAGGAGCAGCCGGGUAGCUGUGUAUUCCCAUCAGCAUUUGAAUAA